AACACUGUUAACCUGCGGUACCUGCGGAAGGAUCAUUACCGAGUUUACAACUCCCAAACCCCUGUGAACAUACCUAUACGUUGCCUCGGCGGAUCAGCCCGCGCCCCGUAAAACGGGACGGCCCGCCCGAGGACCCUAAACUCUGUUUUUAGUGGAACUUCUGAGUAAAACAAACAAAUAAAUCAAAACUUUUAACAAUGGAUCU
rnacentral:misc_RNA from 1 species